UACGUAGGCAGCAAGCGUUGUUCGGAGUUACUGGGCGUAAAGGGUGCGUAGGCGGCCUUAUAAGUAUGGUGUGAAAUCUCCCGGCUUAACUGGGGGGGUGCGCCGGAAACUGGAGUGCUCGAGCGUGGGAGAGGAAAGCGGAAUUCCUGGUGUAGCGGUGAAAUGCGUAGAUAUCAGGAGGAACACCUGCGGUGUAGACGGCUUUCUGGACCAUUGCUGACGCUGAGACACGAAAGCGUGGGUAGCAAACGGG
rnacentral:rRNA from 1 species